UUGUUUUUUACCUCUUUUCACUUCAGCAAUUCAGCUUUCCCAAAUAUGAGUUUCAGAGAAAAAAACUCUCUUGGAGACUAAAUCCAAGGCCGAAUCUCAGUGGGCCUCAGCUCAUCCCACACCACCACCACCACCGGCGAUGCUUCCCGGUCUAGUCUUCUCCUCUUUCAAGUCUUGAGGGGGAUUCGUCAUAUUGAGAAAUGCGCCAAGCUAUUCUUCAAAAUUGGUUAAAUCAUUCAGGAGAGAUUCAUCUUGUGUAAUGGAAAAAUCAAAACAAAUUGAAGUUUCGAAUGGAGUUGUCUCGGCCAUGGCAUCAUUCAGGAGAUUCAUCUCUUGCCUUCCAUUGUUGCCAUUGUAUAAUUGAAUUGCUGUGCAAGUUGUAUUUUCAUGUAGUAACUGAUUUUUUGUGUUGAUGAAUAGAUGAAAUGUAAACAAAUUUGUUUUGCAAAUAGCAUGUUGUGAUGGAGUUCGAUUAUUA